rnacentral:rRNA from 1 species
CGGCAAUAGCUCAAAUUUGAAAUCUGGCCUUCUGGCCCGAAUUGUAAUUUGUAGAGGAUGCUUCGAACGUGGUCUGGUCUAAGUUCCUUGGAACAGGACGUCAUAGAGGGUGAGAGCCCCGUCUGGUUGGAUGCCGAGCCUCUGUAAAGCUCCUUCGAC